rnacentral:rRNA from 1 species
UACGAAGGGGGGCUAGCGUUGCUCGGAAUCACUGGGCGUAAAGGGCGCGUAGGCGGAUCUUUAAGUCGGGGGUGAAAGCCCAGGGCUCAACCCUGGAAUUGCCUUCGAUACUGGAGAUCUUGAGACCGGAAGAGGUAAGUGGAACUGCGAGUGUAGAGGUGAAAUUCGUAGAUAUUCGCAAGAACACCAGUGGCGGAGGC